rnacentral:misc_RNA from 1 species
AAAAAAAACACAACGUCCUGAUUUUCAUACAUUGGAUGUGCCAGGAAACAGCUCAUUCGAACAAAGGGUAAUAGGGGAAAGGGGUGCCUUCAUAUUCUACAACACAUCAACACAUAAUUUCAUUUAUUCCAUCUUCAAACCUGACCUACAAAGCCACUUCCAUCAUAGGAUGGAAACCAUUCUAAGAUGAAGGGCAUUCUUUCGCAUAA